GACGAACGCUGGCGGCGUGCUUAACACAUGCAAGUCGAACGGAAAGGCCUGCUUUCCCUUGUGGAUUGCGGGUACUCGAGUGGCGAACGGGUGAGUAACACGUGAGUGAUCUGCCCCCAACUUGGGUAUAAGCCUGGGAAACUGGGUCUAAUUCCCGAUAGGACUGCAGGGUGGUGCCUGUGGUGGAACACGAUUUUCUAGUGGUUGGGGAUGAGCUCGCGGCCUAUCAGCUUGUUGGUGGGGUAAUGGCCUACCAAGGCGGCGACGGGUAGCCGGCCUGAGAGGGUGGACGGCCACAUUGGGACUGAGAUACGGCCCAGACUCCUACGGGAGGCAGCAGUGGGGAAUAUUGCACAAUGGGCGGAAGCCUGAUGCAGCGACGCCGCGUGGGGGAUGACGGCCUUCGGGUUGUAAACUCCUUUCGACCGCGAGGAAGCCACCUGGUUGGAAGGGUGGUGACGGUAGUGGUAGAAGAAGCACCGGCUAACUACGUG
rnacentral:rRNA from 1 species